rnacentral:rRNA from 1 species
UACAGAGGGUGCGAGCGUUAAUCGGAAUUACUGGGCGUAAAGGGUGCGUAGGUGGUUGCGUAAGUUAGGUGUGAAAGUCCUGGCUUAACCUGGGGAUUGCGCCUGAUACUGUGUGACUAGAGUUCUGUAGAGGAAAGUGGAAUUUCCGGUGUAGCGGUGAAAUGCGUAGAUAGUCGGAAGGAACAUCGGUGGCGAAGGCGACUUUCUGGACAGAGGACUGACACUGAGGCACGAAAGCGUGGGGAGCAAACAGGG